CAACAGUUAAAUUACAGCAAAUCACUUUUCAGGUCACACAGAAAAAUGAAGGAAAAAGCAUAAACUCAAUGACCAGGGUAGAGGAGUCGAAAACUAGAGGGCAAAGACUUAAGGUGUCACGCUGCCCAAGGAGAACACAUUUACUCUUUAUCAGAGAAUUGGAAAAAGUAGCACAAAUAGCAAAGCCUACAGCUUUCAUUGAACUUUCCAUAAGCAACAUGAAGAGAUUGCAAGAAGUUACUUCCAAUUGUCCGGAGAAACAAUGCAGGUGGCAGGAGACUGAAAAGACUAACAGAGCCUUUCUGAAGUCAUUCAAAGCAUUUUUAGACAGGAUAAACAGAUGUUAAGAAAAUAGUGCAAGAUUGCUUCACAAUAUUUCCUAUUUCAAUUAUUUUAUCACAAAAAUGGCAAAAGUUGAACUUUUAAUACAGCUGGAUUAUUUAACAAAAAUGGAAAAUUACAUAUUGUUGGAAAUCUGC